rnacentral:rRNA from 1 species
GAUGAACGCUGACAGAAUGCUUAACACAUGCAAGUCAACUGUGGCGGACGGGUGAGUAACGCGUAAAGAACUUGCCUCACAGUUAGGGACAACAUUUGGAAACGAAUGCUAAUACCUGAUACUGUGAGAGAGCUGUGCGUCCCAUUAGCUAGUUGGAGGGGUAACGGCUCACCAAGGCGAUGAUGGGUAGCCGGCCUGAGAGGGUGAUCGGCCACAAGGGGACCGAGACACGGACCUUACUCCUAAGGGAGGGUGCAAUGGGGAAUAUUGGACAAUGGACCAAAGUCUGAUCCAGCAAUUCUGUGUGCACGAUGAAGUUUUCGGAAUGUAAAGUGCUUUCAGUUGGGAAGCGGUACCAACAGAAGAAGUGACGGCUAAAUACGUGCCAGCAGCCGCGGUAAUAC